rnacentral:lncRNA from 1 species
GUGGCCCAGUUAUGGCUAUUGAUCAUCUGGACCCAUCUACCAUUUACUUUCAACCAACAUUCACAUAUUUCCAACAAUUAAUAUAAAAUCUACUUUUAAAAAUAAAAGUCAGGAUAUGCAACAUAAUUCUAAUACAUCAAUUGAUUACACGUUCAACAUCGAUUAAAGACUAAAACAUGAUACUAUUACUAAAAAUUAACUAAUUUGAACACAUAAUUAUUCAUGACAAAAAAGUUUCUAGAUUGAUUCGAAAUCUGGGCCUAUGGACUAGGCCCAAACCAUCCGAGACUAAUCUUUCAUUGGGAUAGGAAUUCAGCCUCCCUAUUUCAUUAAAUAACAUAACUAAAACCUUAAUGCAUCAAUACCUGCAAGAUUUAUUACAGUAACCCAAACAAAAUUAAGAAACAAAAUCUUUUUCCAGAAGUUCAUGAGUAUGUUACAUGAGAGAUUGUUAUUACAUGAACUACUAAUGUUAAACAAAACUUGCUCUAUUAUAUUUUUUCGUAGCCUAACUAAUCCCUUGCCAUUUCUGGAUAUGAUUUUUCCAUCACAAGCUUUGCUUUCUCCAAUAAAGAGCAUCAGAUUCAUCCACACAAUAAAACUCCAAAUUUCAGCUUCUAAACCUGCUGAUUUGGCCAACUAAUGACCAAAUCUGCAGGAGGCAGCUUAUGACCAAAACAGAAACAAGAACCUUUAAGUAAAAAAGAACAGUCAUUUAAGUAGAAAGAUGAGAAGGAAGUCUAAUAACAUAGCUGUUUGUAAGAAUCAGAUGGCUACGAAGUACUCAACAAGUUGCUCAUAUUAAACCAAAACAAAACUUAUAUGAGAAGGUGUAGGAAUCAAUAACUUUUACCAUAAUAUUCAACUGUAGGAUAUGUGCUACUUUAGCGAAAAUCCUUCUAUACUACUGAAGUGCAUAUAAAAUACAUGUAAAGCUGAUGAAGUAAUUGAGUGAACACACAAUAACUUCUACUAUUGAAUCAUACAGCCAUACAUACAUAGUUAUGAAGAGCUUCAGGUUUGCACAACUAGAUUCAUUCUCAUAAUUAGAGUGUGAUUACAUACCUAGAGAUGAUUCAAAGAAAGACCAAAUAAAGGUUACUAAAAUAGCUGAACUUCCCAAAAGAAAGUGAGCAAUAGCAGGAAGCAAAAAACAACUAAAUCAGACCCAAGUUCAGCCCCCAAGCCUAACUUUAAAACUCAGAGAUUUCAGCCAGAAAAAACCUGGAAAUAUCUUCUAGUUCAAGUCAUAUUUUAAUCUUGUAAUAAAACCAAGAAGGAAUGUUUUUCUUUAAUUUCUAAGACCUAAGAAGAGGAAAGAAUGUUUUUUGUGCAGUAAAUUGAUGCUGAAAAUGUAUUCCUAUUAGAAUGAAAGGACCUAACUAUAUAUAGGCUACCUAGGGAGGAUAUAUCUUGGGUAUAUUUCUUAUCCUCAACCUCUGAAAAUAAUACAAUACAAUUGUCCUUCCUAUCCUAAUUCAAUAUUUUUUGUAAUAGCUAGUACAACUGUACAUUUAUGAUUUUUUAGCCUAAGUAAAAAUCUAAUUUUACCCUUUAAUUUACUGCCUAUUUCAUCUUUAACCUAAGUUAUGAUUUUAAAACAAUUGCAACUACUUUAGGCUUUUAAAGAGGUGAUUAAAUUUCCUAAAAGUGUUGCAUUUCAAAUUUUGAAAUUAAGAUAAGGUUUUAAAAUUGUUGUUCAAAGGGUCAAAUAUGAGCUUAACUCCAUUUAGACCUAAUUGAUUACAUGCAUAGGCAAUUAAGACUUAGAUUCAAAAAGGUUUACUCAAUUUUAACCAAGUUCAAGAUAAAUUAAGUUAAAGCAAAAUUAGGCUAUCAAUUACUGUGAAUUCUAUCUAAAGGUAUACGGCAAACAAUCUUGCGAGGGGAAUAGUCAUAAGAGGAAAGGAAAGAAUAGAGGCAAAACAAACAAAAUAACAGAAACUAACAUGCAAAUUUAAUCCCUCAUAAUGAAAAUUAAACAAUAAAACUUAUCACGCAGAAGAAAGCAGAAAAUAAUCAUAAAAGCAUGCGGCUAAACAAAAGUAAUCAACGGAAAAAGGAGGAGAGAAACAGAAAGAAAGGAAAUAAAAGAAACCAAGAAUUAAGCAGUUUAACAGGAACAUUUAAAUACAAAAGAUUAAAAAAACAAAAAAAAAACUAAUGAGAAAUGUAGAAGAAGUUACCUAAUGUCCAUUUCCAAAACAAACAGGUACAUCCAACGAUCCUGUGACCAAACUUUACGGGUUAAAAAUGAACUUUGGACGACCAUCAAUCGAUUACUCUUAACAAAGCAAUCGAUUAAUCGAUGUCUUGGGUUCAAACAGCUUGAAAAACUUCCUGAAGUUGGAAAGCUAGGGUUCUUGGAUUAAAAAUUUGAGGGAAUUAAAGCUGAUUCAAAGGGGAUUAACGGUGUUUUAGGGUUCAGGGAGAGCAAGGAUUGUAGGAUGUGAAUUUGGAGUGAUUUGGAUAAACUAGGUUUUGGAGGCUCUGAUUUUGAUCUACUAUUCGAGGGGUUUGAAAGUGAUUUAGGGAACUGGUUAAGAGAUUAGAAAUGAGGAGGGGAUUAGGGUUCUGUGGUGUUGAUUUGGAGAAUAUUGGAAUAUCAAAAAUGCCGUAAGGCGAAUUCCGGUGGCUGUUGGUGGUGGAGGCGAUAAAGGAACCUGGGGCGGGUAGGGUUUUCUUUUGGUUUAGGUUAGAGAUGAAUGAGAGUGAUUGGAAUGGGGGGAGCCUGGUUCGGAUAGUUAUGUACCAAGUGGGAGGUCAGUU